AGCUCUCUGCAGUGGCAGUAUCAUAGCCAAUGAGGUUUAUCUAAGGCAUGAUUAUUGCUAAUUGAAAAUGAGCAGUGCAAGGUGUGGGAGUCUGGGGAUCAGUCUGUGAACAAACCCAGGCU
rnacentral:snRNA from 1 species